rnacentral:rRNA from 1 species
UGCGUAGGCGGAUUAAUAAGUCAGUGGUGAAAACCUGCAGCUUAACUGUAGAACUGCCAUUGAUACUGUUAGUCUUGAGUACGGUCAAGGUAGGCGGAAUGUGUAAUGUAGCGGUGAAAUGCUUAGAUAUUACACAGAACACCGAUUGCGAAGGCAGCUUACUGGACCAUUACUGACGCUGAGGGACGAAAGCGUGGGGAGCGAACAGGAUUAGAUACCCUGGUAGUCC